UGUGAACUCGAAGAGUAGGGCGGGACACGUGGUAUCCUGUCUGAAUAUGGGGGGACCAUCCUCCAAGGCUAAAUACUCCUGACUGACCGAUAGUGAACCAGUACCGUGAGGGAAAGGCGAAAAGAACCCCGGCGAGGGGAGUGAAAAAGAACCUGAAACCGUGUACGUACAAGCAGUGGGAGCACCUUCGGGUGUGACUGCGUACCUUUUGUAUAAUGGGUCAGCGACUUAUAUUCUGUAGCAAGGUUAACCGUAUAGGGGAGCCGCAGGGAAACCGAGUCUUAACUGGGCGUUAAGUUGCAGGGUAUAGACCCGAAACCCGGUGAUCUAGCCAUGGGCAGGUUGAAGGUUGGGUAACACUAACUGGAGGACCGAACCGACUAAUGUUGAAAAAUUAGCGGAUGACUUGUGGCUGGGGGUGAAAGGCCAAUCAAACCGGGAGAUAGCUGGUUCUCCCCGAAAGCUAUUUAGGUAGCGCCUCGUGAAUUCAUCUUCGGGGGUAGAGCACUGUUUCGGCUAGGGGGUCAUCCCGACUUACCAACCCGAUGCAAACUACGAAUACCGAAGAAUGUUAUCACGGGAGACACACGGCGGGUGCUAACGUCCGUCGUGAAGAGGGAAACAACCCAGACCGCCAGCUAAGGUCCCAAAGUCAUGGUUAAGUGGGAAACGAUGUGGGAAGGCACAGACAGCCAGGAUGUUGGCUUAGAAGCAGCCAUCAUUUAAAGAAAGCGUAAUAGCUCACUGGUCGAGUCGGCCUGCGCGGAAGAUGUAACGGGGCUAAACCAUGCACCGAAGCUGCGGCAGCGACACUAUGUGUUGUUGGGUAGGGGAGCGUUCUGUAAGCCUGCGAAGGUGUGCUGUGAGGCAUGCUGGAGGUAUCAGAAGUGCGAAUGCUGACAUAAGUAACGAUAAAGCGGGUGAAAAGCCCGCUCGCCGGAAGACCAAGGGUUCCUGUCCAACGUUAAUCGGGGCAGGGUGAGUCGACCCCUAAGGCGAGGCCGAAAGGCGUAGUCGAUGGGAAACAGGUUAAUAUUCCUGUACUUGGUGUUACUGCGAAGGGGGGACGGAGAAGGCUAUGUUAGCCGGGCGACGGUUGUCCCGGUUUAAGCAUGUAGGCUGGUUGUCCAGGCAAAUCCGGAUAAUCAAGGCUGAGGUGUGAUGACGAGGCACUACGGUGCUGAAGUAACAAAUGCCCUGCUUCCAGGAAAAGCCUCUAAGCAUCAGGUAACAUCAAAUCGUACCCCAAACCGACACAGGUGGUCAGGUAGAGAAUACCAAGGCGCUUGAGAGAACUCGGGUGAAGGAACUAGGCAAAAUGGUGCCGUAACUUCGGGAGAAGGCACGCUGGUGUGUAGGUGAAGUCCCUGCGGAUGGAGCUGAGACCAGUCGAAGAUACCAGCUGGCUGCAACUGUUUAUUAAAAACACAGCACUGUGCAAACACGAAAGUGGACGUAUACGGUGUGAC
rnacentral:rRNA from 1 species